rnacentral:rRNA from 1 species
AGUGAACGAUGGCGGUAGGCCUAACACAUGCAAGUCGAACGAGUGGCGGAAGGGUGAGGAAUACAUAGGAAUCUACUCUGUCGUGGGGGAUAACGUAGGGAAAAUUACGCUAAUACAGCAUACGAGCGAAUGAGCCGAUGUCGGAUUGGCUAGUUGGCGGGGUAAAGGCACACCAGGGCGACGAUCCGUAGAUGGUCUGAGAGGAUGAUCAGCCACACUGGAACUGAGACACGGUCCAGACUCCUACGGGAUGCAGCAGUGGGGAAUAUUGGACAAUGGGCGCGAGCCUGAUCCAGCCAUACCGCGUGGGUGAAGAAGGCCUUCGGGUUGUAAAGCCCUUUUGUUGGGAAAGCGGUACCCAAAGAAUAAGCACCGGCUAACUUCGUGCCAGCAGCCGCGGUAAUUC